rnacentral:lncRNA from 1 species
UGUGUCUUACCUUCCAAUGUUCCUCUUUUAAGCUAACCUCAUCUUAAUCUUAUCUCACAACCUCAACCGAAAUUUAUGACCGAAGGUCCUACUACCUGUUAGGGAACGAGGAGUGUGAACAAUUUGACAGCACAGAAUUAUCUCCCUCCCCGUCAUGCAUCCCACAUAAACCAGCCUCCCACCAGACCAGAGUGACCUGUCAGGCAAGGGACCAACAAGGUCCUACCCCGUCAUUCACAUCAACAGGCAUCCACAGGAUGAGAGCCUAAAAAAGCUGCCUCUGCUGUAGAAAUACAAUGCCAACAAGCAAAGGGGUAAUUACUUUGCAGACUAACAAAAAGUGACAAAAAUGAUGUUGGAAAGAUAGAAAACAAUGUCAUUGUUUCCAGCUUUUCUAAAUUUAUUGUGCAUCAGUUGCCUUCCCAGCAAUAGCGUUCAUUACCAUAUGGAGAGAGAAUGUUCAAAGUGAGACGCACACUUCCAGAUGGUGGCAACUCCUACCCAAGACUAUUUUCAUCAUCCUUUUUAUUCUUCUAUUUUUUUUUAAUCAUCACUUUGUGGUAAGAGUUUUGGUGAAGAGCAGUAUCCAAGGCAUUUAAGUCCUUUAGAAAAGAACAGAUUGAACUAAUAGACAAGACCCCAGCAGCAAUCACCUUUUUCCUCCCCCAAGAGCCAAGUUGGUCAUGCCCCUGCAUCACCCAUCAUAAUGUCUGAUCAGGACAGCAUAAGAAUAUAGUGUUCUGGGAAAAAAUAAAGCUAAAUCACGUAACUUCGACUUCAGCAGAAGAACGGUAUUUCAUGCUGUUUGGACAAACAGAGCUGUCAAUUGAAAGCACUUUGGCAUUGGCAAUAGAAAUAUAAAUUACAGGAAAUUUUCCCACACCAAGGUGGUUCACAAUUCCUGAUGCUCAAGGGAACUGCCUAUCUGGCAUCAGAAUUAUUUAACUCUUUCUUAGUGACCAUCAACGUGUUUUGAUGGCCAAAUUCCUCGACUCAUGCGUAGAAUAGCUCAAUUGUGAUCAGAGUUAAUUCACUAACCGACAAUAACAAAACCCACAGUUCCAGAUUUAAUAUACAAGAGAUACUGAAGUGUUUGAAUUAAAGCUUAUAGGCUAACAGAAGAUUUUAUGUCUGCAUGAAAUAAAGAAGAGCUACUUAUUCAGUGUGAAACAUGGUACAUCAGAUCGUACGCUUAGCAACAUGACAUCAGAUCGUACGCUUAGCAACAUGAAUGGGUUAGCUGAGCAAUUUAAUGGUAAUUUUGGUGGUAAGCAGAGUCUUUUGAUGCAAGUGAUUAAUAUGCUCCUAAUGUGCUAUGGCAACUGAAACAGCUAAGAAGAAUAUUAAAAGAGGCAUCAUCUUGUAGGCACUCCGUUGAAAAUCCACAACAAGAGCAUUCACGUGGACAACAUAAUUUUGUUACAGACC